rnacentral:sRNA from 1 species
AUAUCUUUCUAUUCCUGAAGUUACAUUAUAUUUUAUGUUGAACACUCGUGAUCACACAUGUAUACUAUUAAUUGGGAAGCAUUGUGUGAACUACAACAUUGUAAGGGUAGUUUAAAACUAACUAAAUGAAUAUUUUUGCAUGGGUAAUUUAGUAAAUUAACAACUACUCCAACUAAAUAAAUAUCUUCAAU